GAAAAUUAUCAGAAACAUGCUUCACAGUAUUUCCUCUGGAUGGCAGAGUAACUGGUUUGUUCUUUUUUUCUUGCAUAAAGCAGCUGCUCUGCUGUAACACUCAGUGUUACCAGUAGAUGGCAGCAGAUUUAUACUGAGUGUGACACUGAGGCUGUGUCCGAAUUCAGGGGAAGGAUGCUUAAAAUGCCAUAUUUGGAGGCAAUGACGUCACAGCGACGCGACGAGGACUGUCCGAAUUCAAAGAGCACUCAAAAUGUGGCGACAAAUGCGUCCUACUUUGCCCUGAAUUCUAAGGAUGGUCCGAUGUAUCCUUCAUGUCCUACUAUAUCCCAGGAUUCAUUGCGGGUCAUAGAGGAGAUUUGUUUCUGAUAACGAUGGUGGUCGAAGCAGGAGAGGAAAACACUUUCAUAUGACAAUUCUGGAGAAGAUGGGCCUGCAGGGGAAAGUCACCCCCUUGUAGGCCAGAAGACAUGAGAUAACUUUAAAGAAUACAAAGAUUGCAAGUAUCCAGGCUCAGGAGAGGGGGUCAGUGGGAAGCCCACUGCUGCUACUUGGCCCUGGUUUGCCCUCAUGGAUAAGGUGAUAGGACAGAUGCCUUCCAUUAAGCCUCCUGUCCUAAUUUCCUCUCUCUCUGAGGACACUCCAGGGCCAAGCGCAGCAGUGGGUCACCAAAACGACAGCGAUGACGAAGCGGCUCAGCCACCUACGACAGGGAGAA
ensembl:lncRNA